GGUGAAGUGUGUGGUGGAAACAAUGAUUGUGUGGUUUUGUAAGCUGACAACAGCUGGAGUUCAUUGCGGUGGUGUUGGCCAUGGUAACGGUUGUGUUUCCUGUAAUGGUGGUGUCACUGAUGAUGGCAGUGAGGUAUUGGUGGUUGUGGUGGAAGGGUGGUUGCCAUUGCUACAAUGUGGUGGUGGGGGACCCAAUUGAAAAAUAAU
rnacentral:misc_RNA from 1 species